ACAGAGAGAGAGUUCAUGUAUGUAUGGGUUUAUGUGUUUGCAUAUUAAAGAACACAGAAAACCAAAUCACUAGCUCUGGGAAAUUACUUACCUUUCCUUAAAGGGACUCAAGUUUUCAAACUUUGAAAAAGGGCUGGAAAUUUACAUACAUCACAAAAAAAUAUAAUGAACCUACUUUAGCACUAUAAACUACAAUUCAUGCCAAUUCAUGAUGAAAUCAUGAAAACAUAAACUUCUUGACCAGAAAAUUAUAAUCACUGAGCAUUUCACUUUUAAUCUUUG
rnacentral:misc_RNA from 1 species